rnacentral:tRNA from 1 species
GGGAAAGUAGCUCAGUGGUAGAGUGCUUGCUUAGCAUGCAUGAAGCCCUGGGUUCAAUUCCUCAGCACCA